rnacentral:tRNA from 9 species
GCAUCAGUGGUCUAGUGGUUAUGAUGCUAGUCUUCCAAACUGGCGAGGGGGGUUCGAUUCCCUCCUGAUGCA